AGAUCAGUUUGAGCCCAGGAGUUUGAGGUUGCAGUGAGCCAUGAUAGCGCCACUGCACUGCAGCCUGGGCAACAAAG
rnacentral:snRNA from 1 species